rnacentral:rRNA from 1 species
AACGAACGCUGGCGGCAGGCUUAACACAUGCAAGACGAACGCAUCCUUCGGGGUGAGUGGCAGACGGGUGAGUAACGCGUGGGAACAUGCCCUUCAGUUCGGAAUAACCCAGGGAAACUUGGGCUAAUACCGGAUACGUGCGAGAGCAGAAGGAUUUAUCGCUAAAGGAGUGGCCCACGUCGGAUUAGCUAGUUGGUGAGGUAAAGGCUCACCAAGGCGACGAUCAGUAGCUGGUCUGAGAGGAUGAUCAGCCACACUGGGACUGAGACACGGCCGAGACUCCUACAGGAGGCGGCAGUAGGGAAUAUUAGAGAAUGGUGGCAAGCGUGACCAGCCAUGCCGCGUGAGUGAUGAAGGCCUUAGGGUUGUAAAGCUCUUUCGUCGGGGACGAUAAUGACGGUACCCGCAGAAGAAGCCCCGGCUAACUUCGUGCCAGCCGCCGCGGUAA